rnacentral:misc_RNA from 1 species
AAGCAGCAAAACCCUCCCAUUUGCUUCAACUCCGCCGGACUUGUCUCCACCGCCGUACGCCGCGGUUGCGAUUCUACGCCGGUGACUUCUCAACUACCGUCAUCUUGAAUGGAUAUUGAUUCAAAGGUACCAGAGGAGGCUGGGAGUUCGAUGCAAGUUGACAGUAAGGUCCAGGAGAAGGAUGAUAUCUCUAACUCGAUGCAAAAUCUUAAUAUCGAGGGAUCAUCCUUCACUUUCAAGAAAAAGCCUAUCAUCAUUAUAGUGGUUGGGAUGGCUGGUAGUGGAAAAACUACGUUUCUCCAUCGACUUGUUUGCCACACAAUGGCGUCCAAUCUCAGGGGUUAUGUUUUGAACCUUGAUCCUGCUGUCUUGACCCUUCCAUUUGGUGCAAAUAUUGAUAUUAGAGACACUGUUCGAUACAAGGAAGUCAUGAAGCAAUACAAUCUUGGGCCAAAUGGAGGAAUUCUUACUUCACUAAACCUGUUUGCCACGAAAUUUGAUGAGGUGAUAUCAGUUAUUGAAAAACGAGCUGACCAGUUGGACUAUGUUCUCGUGGACACUCCUGGACAGAUUGAGAUAUUCACUUGGUCUGCUUCUGGUGCAAUUAUCACUGAAGCUUUUGCAUCUACUUUUCCCACUGUGGUGACAUAUGUAGUUGAUACACCACGAUCUGAAAGUCCUGCUACUUUUAUGAGCAAUAUGCUGUAUGCUUGUAGCAUCCUCUACAAAACAAGGUUGCCGCUGGUAUUGGCUUUCAACAAGACGGAUGUGGCUAAUCAUGAAUUUGCUUUGGAGUGGAUGAAAGAUUUUGAGGUGUUUCAUGCGGCAUUAGAUGCAGACAAUACUUACACAUCAACUCUGACUCGGAGCCUCUCUCUUGCACUUGAGGAGUUCUACAAGAAUCUAAGAUCAGUUGGAGUCUCUGCAGUUUCAGGUGCUGGGAUGGAUGCCUUUUUCAAGGCAAUUGAAGCCAGUGCUGAAGAGUAUAUGGAAACUUACAAGGCUGACUUGGACAAGAGAUGGGAGGAGAAGCAGCUAUUAGAGGAAACACGCAGAAGAGAAAAUAUGGAAAAGCUGAGGAAAGAUAUGGAGAAAACCGGAGGUGAAACUGUAGUAUUGAGCACCGGUUUGAAGGAUGUAAAAGGGAAGAACAAGGGUAUGAUGGAUGACGAGGAUGAAGAAGAAGAGGAAGAGGACAUCAAGGUAUUUAGUGACGAUGAAGAUACCAUAGACGAGGAUGAAGAUGAAGAUGCUGGCUUUCCAAUCUGAGCCUGUACAUGGUGUCCUUUUAAGAAAAUUUACUAUGUAUAGGACUGAUCAAAACGUGCUAAACCCGAAAUAAGGAACAGAAAAUUGGUUUUACUUUCUUUGAAUGUGAAUCUGGGCACUGGUUGCAUCUCAUUUUGGUAGUUCAAGAAUUAGGUGAUGUGACUUUUUCUGCUUUUUAUUUACAGAUUUUGAUUGUUUAACUGAUUUAUCUUUCAUAUUUAUGAUGACAAUUUACCAGAUUGGGUGUGUUCGGC